rnacentral:rRNA from 1 species
CUACGGGUUGCACCAGUGGGGAAUAUUGCACAAUGGGCGCAAGCCUGAUGCAGCCAUGCCGCGUGUAUGAAGAAGGCCUUCGGGUUGUAAAGUACUUUCAGCGGGGAGGAAGGGAGUAAAGUUAAUACCUUUGCUCAUUGACGUUACCCGCAGAAGAAGCACCGGCUAACUCCGUGCCAGCAGCCGCGGUAAUACGGAGGGUGCAAGCGGUAAUCGGAAUUACUGGGCGUAAAGCGCACGCAGGCGGUUUGUUAAGUCAGAUGUGAAAUCCCCGGGCUCAACCUGGGAACUACAUCUGAUACUGGCAAGCUUGAGUCUCGUAGAGGGGGGUAGAAUUCCAGGUGUAGCGGUGAAAUGCGUAGAGAUCUGGAGGAAUACCGGUGGCGAAGGCGGCCCCCUGGACGAAGACUGACGCUCAGGUGCGAAAGCGUGGGGAGCAAACAGGAUUAGAUACCCGGGUAGUC